GGUUCUAAAGGGUUGUACAUUAAUCAGAGGUGUGUUCUGGGUAACAUGCAAUCAACCAAUCAGAGGUCCUCUCCCAUUCCCUUUAACAACCAAUCAGAGGUCCUUUCCCAUUCCCUUUAACAGCCAGGUGUGUUUGGACCUUGGAGCGUUGCUGUUAUGAUGGAGGAUUUACACCCUCAUAUUUUUAUUUUUAAUCUUCUGCGUGUGUGUGCGUGUGUGUGGGGUGAGUGGUGUU